GACGAACGCUGGCGGCGUGCUUAACACAUGCAAGUCGAACGGAAAGGCCCUGCUUUUGUGGGGUGCUCGAUUGGCGAACGGGUGAGUAACACGCGAGUAACCUGCCCUUGACUUUGGGAUAACUUCAGGAAACUGGGGCUAAUACCGGAUAGGAGCUCCUGCUGCAUGUUGGGGGUUGGAAAGUGUCGGCGGUUGGGGAUGGACUCGCGGCUUAUCAGCUUGUUGGUGGGGUAGUGGCUUACCAAGGCUUUGACGGGUAGCCGGCCUGAGAGGGUGACCGGCCACAUUGGUACUGAGAUACGGACCAGACUCCUACGGGAGGCAGCAGUGGGGAAUAUUGCACAAUGGGCGGAAGCCUGAUGCAGCGGCGCCGCGUGCGGGAUGACGGCCUACUGGUUGUGAACCGCUUUCGCCUGUGCCGAAGCGUGAGUGACGGUAAUGGGUAAAGAAGCACCGGCUAACUACGUG
rnacentral:rRNA from 1 species